AGUGAAGCGGCAACAGCUCAAAUUUGAAAUCUGGCCUCGGCCCGAGUUGUAAUUUGCAGAGGAUGCUUUUGGUGCGGUGCCUUCCGAGUUCCCUGGAACGGGACGCCACAGAGGGUGAGAGCCCCGUAUGGUCGGACACCAAUCCUGUGUAAAGCUCCUUCGACGAGUCGAGUAGUUUGGGAAUGCUGCUCUAAAUGGGAGGUAAAUCUCUUCUAAAGCUAAAUACCGGCCAGAGACCGAUAGCGCACAAGUAGAGUGAUCGAAAGAUGAAAAGCACCUUGAAAAGGGGGUUAAACAGUACGUGAAAUUGUUGAAAGGGAAGCACUUGUGACCAGACUUGGGCCGGGCGGCUCAUCAGGGGUUCUCCCCUGUGCAUUCCGCCCGGUACAGGCCAGCAUCGGUUCUUACCGGGGGAUAAGAACGGCAGGAACGUGGCUCCCUCUCGGGGGAGUGUUAUAGCCUGCCGUACGAUACCCUGGCGGGGACCGAGGUUCGCGCUUCCGCAAGGAUGCUGGCGUAAUGGUUACUAGUGACCCGUCUUGAAACACGGACCAAGGAGUCGUCCAUUAGAGCGAGCGUUUGGGUGUAAAACCCGCACGCGUAAUGAAAGUGAAAUUAGGUGAGAGCUUCGGCGCAUCAUCGACCGAUCCUGAUGUUCUCGGAUGGAUUUGAGUAAGAGUUUUAACGGACGGACCCGAAAGACAGUGAACUAUGCUUGUAUAGGGUGAAGCCAGAGGAAACUCUGGUGGAGGCUCGCAGCGGUUCUGACGUGCAAAUCGAU
rnacentral:rRNA from 1 species